rnacentral:lncRNA from 1 species
CUGAUGUGAAUCUAAAGUAUCUGAUGCAUAUCUUACUUAACUAUACACGCCAACACAGAUUUCCAAGAUGCACUGAAUUGGCCAGGUAAGACUGACAUGAACAUGGGUUCAAUAUAGAUUUUUUCAUGUUUAGUUCAGGAUUGUGGUGUCAUUACAUCAAGAUGAUUGUUCAUCUACCGUGAUGGCUUUGACUACCAUAUUUACCAUCUACUGUAAGAGUUUGACGAGUUCUGGAUGCACUACAUGAUUCAUAUGUAAUUGCAUGCAUCAUAGUUAUUCAUGGCUCUAACCAACAUAAUUUUAUAGGACUAUGUGUGAUUUCAUUCACAUGACUGAUGUACUGAAUGACCAUGAUUUCAUUUUCUUAGCAUAUUUGAAAUAUUUGGUUGUUUCUUAACAUUGAGACACUCUAAAAUGUAAAUACUCAAAAUAUUUGAACCAUAAUGAGCUCUGAGAGAAGAUACAAUCAUGAAAUCUCCAUCUUCAUUUUUAGGGUGUCAAGUUUGGCGAGGACUCAUUUAUCUGAGCCAACCAACUGAACCCAACCUCGGGCCUGACAUAUUGGGUU